CUGUUGCGGUCAUCUUUUCCUAAUGCACUCUUACCACAAUCAUAUGAGGAAUCAAGGUCUUUGGAGCACGGGUUGGGUUUCAAGUUUGACUAUGAGUUUAAAGCUUUGGCUAUCAAUUUCCCAGCUUAAUGUUGGGGGUGAGUGUUACACUUGCAAGGCCAUGACAUGUCUGUUUUACAGAAAUGUUGGUGGAGCCUUUGACGUUGAGCAAAUUGAGGAAAAUUUACUUGGUCAACUUGUUGGAAAUCAGGCAAUUUUAGUGAAUGUGUAUGAUGUCACAAACUCCUCCAAUCCCCUAAUCAUGUAUGGUCAGACAUAUCAAGAUGGUGAUAUGUCUCUUUCUCAUGAGAGCAAAAGCAUACUAUAAGUAAAUGUUGCAAAAUCCCAGUUUAUAGCUACUGUUUCUCACGAAAUUAGAACAACAAUGUGAAUGGCAUUUUUUAUGAUACAGAAUUAAGCUCAACUCAGAGGGAUUACUGGGCAAACUGCGCAGGCCUGUGGGAAGAGCAUUAAUAGUGUUAAUCAAUGAGGUGCUAGACCGUGCAAAACUUGAGGCUGGCAAGUUAGAGCAGGAAGAAGUCCCAUUUGACCUCAUUCCAACUUCUAGACAAUAUAUACCUUUAUUUUCUAAGAAGUCUAGACACAAGGGAAUUGAGGGAAGUUCAGGCAGAUUAUUACAAAUCUUGUGGGCAACUCUGUUAAGGUUCACCGAACGAGGACAUAUAUUUAUCCACCCCCUCACGUUUUAGAUGUGGUUCAAGUAAGAUGAUGAUGACCCACAUCAUUGCUGCUGCAGCUUGGAAACCAUGACCAGGUUACUCAUCUGGUAUAGUGUUUCCCCUGCAUUUCAAGUCAUAAAACUCAGUUUGCAUCUUACACCAUGCUUUUUAGUAUCGACACAGGUGUGUUGCGCAACUGCUGUAUUUCAUACAGGCAUAUGCACAGCUAGGCAAAUUUUGGUUAUCUUGGAUUCCUCUGUUCAAGUUAUCAAAUGGCUCAAAUUAAGAACUAUUAAUACAUUGUUGAUGGAAGCAGCUUUGAUAGUCAAGGCAAUAGUGGAUAUUUGCUCAAUAUCCAAUAUUUAACCAAAAGAAUUUCUUACUCAUCAAGGGUCAGGGUGCGAUCCCAAAUGCAUGAAUUUGUUGGGGAAGAGAAGAAUGAUGAUGCUAGCGUGUAGUGUUCUCUGCAACUGGAAAAGGCAUCAGACAAAAAGGGGUGGUUUGAUAUUCACAAUAGUGAUAUGGCCAAGCUUGGGUUGAUCAUGAGCUAUGCAAUCAAUACACAAUCAUCGCGCAUCAUGUUCGCCACCUUUCUUGAUCAAAAGUGAUAUGUCGAACUGUGGGUACCAGUGUGAAUGAAAAGUCCCACAGUAAUAGAGAUAACCAAAAUUGGUAGACCUUGGUUACCAUUAUAAUAGAGUAUAGUAAAUUAGUAGGUAAUGGUGAUGUUUUGUAUAUUAUAUAAAAAUUAGCUUAGCUUGUACUUGAUAUGACUUCCAUAGUGCAGCACCCAGUAAGAAAUUAUAUAUUUGCGAAA